CCUACGGGGGGCUGCAGUGGGGAAUAUUGGACAAUGGGCGAAAGCCUGAUCCAGCCAUGCCGCGUGUGUGAAGAAGGCCUUCGGGUUGUAAAGCACUUUCAGUGGGGAAGAAAGCCUUGGGGCUAAUACCCUCGAGGAAGGACAUCACCCACAGAAGAAGCACCGGCUAACUCCGUGCCAGCAGCCGCGGUAAUACGGAGGGUGCGAGCGUUAAUCGGAAUUACUGGGCGUAAAGCGCGCGUAGGCGGUCUGAUAAGCCGGUUGUGAAAGCCCCGGGCUCAACCUGGGAACGGCAUCCGGAACUGUCAGGCUAGAGUGCAGGAGAGGAAGGUAGAAUUCCCGGUGUAGCAGUGAAAUGCGUAGAGAUCGGGAGGAAUACCAGUGGCGAAGGCGGUCUUCUGGACUGACACUGACGCUGAGGUGCGAAAGCGUGGGUAGCAAACAGGAUUAGAUACCCUUGUAGUC
rnacentral:rRNA from 1 species